GGUGUUUGCAGUAAUAAUGCUGAUCGCAGCUCUAUUUCACCACCAAUAUGAUAGGGCAAACCGCAGUUAGCAAAUGAGAUAUACGGACCACGCUCAAACACAAUAAUUUGUGCAUUUUCAUCUAAACGACGUGCUCGGGCUGCUGCUGAUGCACCGCCAGCAACGCCAC
rnacentral:antisense_RNA from 1 species